rnacentral:rRNA from 1 species
GACGAACGCUGGCGGCGUGCUUAACACAUGCAAGUCGAACGGAAAGGCCCUGCUUUUGUGGGGUGCUCGAGUGGCGAACGGGUGAGUAACACGUGAGUAACCUGCCCUUGACUUUGGGAUAACUUCAGGAAACUGGGGCUAAUACCGGAUAGGAGCUCCUGCUGCAUGGUGGGGGUUGGAAGGUUCGGCGGGUGGGGAUGGACUCGCGGCUUAUCAGCUUGUUGGUGGGGUAGUGGCUUACCAAGGCUUUGACGGGUAGCCGGCCUGAGAGGGUGACCGGCCACAUUGGGACUGAGAUACGGCCCAGACUCCUACGGGAGGCAGCAGUGGGGAAUAUUGCACAAUGGGCGGAAGCCUGAUGCAGCAACGCCGCGUGCGGGAUGACGGCCUUCGGGUUGUAAACCGCUUUCGCCUGUGACGAAGCGUGAGUGACGGUAAUGGGUAAAGAAGCACCGGCUAACUACGUG